AUUGGCUCAUUAAUUAUGGAUGGGAUUGGGAUCAUCUCUCACAAAUCCACAAGUUUUCCCCUUUACUUUCUUUGUUUUCAUCUUGCCCAAUUUUCAGUCGUUAUCCUUCUAUAGAUGGCUGAACAAAUCCCAUUUAGCAUUGCGGAAAACUUAUUAGCAAAGUUGGCCUCAAUUGCUUCUGAAGAAGUUAGUUUGGUGCAUGGCUUCAAAAAGGAUCUUAGGAAGCUUCAAACUACUCUCUCCACCAUCAAAGCAAUACUUGUGGAUGCUGAGGAGAAGCAAGAGGAAAGCCUUGCAGUGAAGGACUGGAUAAGGAGGCUUAGAGAGGUUGUCUAUGAUGCAGAUGACUUGUUUGAUGAUGUAGCAACUGAAGGGUUGAGAAGGAAGGUUGAAGGUGAGGGAAGAAUGGUUAGGAAGGUAUGCGACUUCUUUUCUUCCACAAAUCAAAUUGCAUUUCGUUUCAAGAUGGGUCAUAGUAUUAAAGAUAUUAGAGAGAGGCUAGAUGAAAUCGCCAAAGAAAUAUCUGACUUUGGCUUUAUAAUUAGGAAGGAAGUUGGAGUAUGUAUGGGGAUAAAGAAUAGUUGGAGGGAGACAGACUCCUUUGUAUUGAAAUCAGAAAUUAUAGGAAGAGAUGAAGAUAAGGAGAAGAUCAUAGAAUCAUUGAUGUGUUCAGUCAAUCAAAGCAAUAUUUCUGUAGUUGCAAUUGUAGGGUUUGGUGGCUUAGGAAAGACUGCACUUGCCCAAUUAGUGUUUAAUGAUGAGAAAGUGGUGAAUUAUUUUGAUUUGAAGCUAUGGGUAUGUGUCUCUGAGGAGUCAAAUGUUGAAACACUAGUUAAACUCAUCCUUAAAAGUGCAGGCAAUAAUGAAGUGCCCAACUUGUCUUUGGAACGGUUACAAAUUCGCCUUAGACAAUGUUUAGAAGGCAAAAAGUUCUUGUUGGUGUUGGAUGAUGUGUGGAACGUGAACAAUAGGAUUUGGAGUCAAUUGAGGAGAUAUUUGAUGGUUGGUGCCAUAGGGAGUAGAAUUUUAGUAACUACUCGCAGUAAGAGGGUUGCUUUAGCUAUGGGUGUAGACUCUCCGUAUGCUUUACAGGAUCUAACAGAAGAUCAAUCAUGGGAUCUAUUUGAGAAGCUAGCAUUUAGAGAGGGAACAGGAAGAGUGAAUUCAAAUCUAAUAGAAAUUGGGAAAGAAAUUGCAAAGAAGUGCAGAGGAGUUCCACUUGCAAUUAGAGCUAUAGGAGGCAUAAUGCAACUAAGAAGUAGUGAAAGUGAAUGGUUGUCUGUCCUAGAAAAUGAGUUGUGGAAGGUCUUCGAGAGUGAUGGUGAUAUUAGUCAAGUGUUGAAAUUGAGUUAUGAUGUCUUACCGUACCAUUUAAAGCAGUGUUUUGCAUACUGCGCAAUGUUUCCAAAAGACUAUGAGUUUGGUAAGGAUAGAUUAAUUCAGUUGUGGAUGGCACAAGGCUAUGUUCAGUCUCGGGGUCAAAGUGAAAAUGAAAAUGCAGAGGAGAUUGGGGAAGGAUACUUCAAUGAAUUGUUAUUUAGGUCAUUUUUCCAAAAGUUUAAGUAUUGUUAUAAAAUGCAUGACCUUAUCCAUGACCUUGCACAGUCAAUAGCAGGGGAUAGUUGUUUUGUAGUUAAUGAUAAUACUAAAUAUAUUCCUGAUAGAGUCCAACAUGUGUUUUCUGAAAAUUUGUCUUUUGAGGAAUGCUUCAGGCAGCUAAAAAAUAAAGGAUUGAGGACACUGUAUUGUCCAUAUUUUGGUGAUGGAUUAUGGUUGAAUUUAGAUAGUAUCUUUUCAAAUUGUAGAAGCAUACGUGCUUUGAGUUUUGGAUGGAAUAUCAAUGGAAUGCCAGAUUCAAUUGGAAAGUUGAAAUACCUGAGGUAUCUUGAAUUUUCUAGUUCUAAAAUCAGUUCACUUCCAAACUGCAUUUGCAGCUUGUAUAAUUUGCAAACUCUAAUACUCUGGGAAUGUUGGGGUCUUAAAGAAUUACCUACAGACAUGAGGAAAUUGAUUUGUCUCAGACAACUUAUUAAUAUUGGUUGUAGUAGGCUUGAAUUCAUGCCAUUGGGGUUGGGGAGAUUAACAAAUCUGCAGACUUUGUCAACUUUUGUUGUGGGAAGUGAUCAAGGAAGGAGAUGUUCCUCAUUGAAUGAGUUGAAUAGCUUAAACCGGCUAAGAGGUGAAAUCUCCAUUGAAGGACUAGAAAAUGUGAAAAAUGCAGCUUUGGAGUCCAGCCGAGUAAAUCUCAAGGAAAAGAAACACCUUCUCUGCUUAAGAUUAAGGUGGGAUGGCAGGGGAGAUAGCAAUAGUGGAAAUAGUGAGUUGUUGUUGGAUAACCUACACCCUCACCCGAACUUGAAAGAAUUGAACGUUGUGUGCUAUGAAGGUGUGAGGUUUUCAAAUUGGCUUUCUUCUAUCACAAAUCUCGUCAAUAUUACUUUAUAUAAAUGUCCGAAAUGUGAGCAUUUGCCGCCAUUGGACAAUCUGCCUUAUCUGGAAAUUCUCAAUCUUAGCUAUUUCGAUUCUCUGGAGUACAUAUCAGAUGAAUAUAAUUUAUUCUCUUCUUUAUCUACAUCAGCAGCAACAUUCUUUCCAUCUCUAAAGAUUCUUAAACUCGAUGUUUGCCCUAAUGUGAAAAGGUGGUGGAGAACACGUAUGGAAGCAAAGAUGGUGCCUCAAUUUCCUUGUCUUUCUAAAUUAACCAUCGCGAAAUGCCGUAACCUGACUUUGAUGCCAAUGUUUCCAUCGCUAGACAUGGAGCUUCAUCUUGCCUAUGCCCACAUAAGACCAUUGCAUUAUACAUUGCAGAUGUCUGCAACGGCUUCUGCAGUACCAUCAACCUCUUCUUCAGUUACUUCUCCUUUUUCCAAAUUAAAGACUCUGUGGUUACAAGGUAUUGAGAAUCUAGCAUCUCUACCUGGAGAGUGGAUGCAGAACCUCAGCUUCCUUGAGAAACUAUUUCUUAGCUACUGCAUGGAAAUUAGUGAUGAGGAUGAGUGUGGCAUAUUCAAAUGGAGAUAUCUUGUUAGUCUUCGAGAUCUCUCUCUCUAUAAUCUUUCAAAUCUGGUGUCUCUACCAAGGGAGCUUCAAUAUGUUACCACCUUGCAACGUCUCUCUAUCCACGAAUGUUCUAAUUUGAGGGCUUUGCCUAACUGGAUAGGCAACCUCACAGCACUCGAAAAUUUAAAUAUCCACUACUGCUCUAAAUUGGAAUCGCUACCAAGAGGAAUGCGUCAAAUCACCACUUUACACAAGUUGAGUGUUACCCGUUGCCCCCAUUUGUCUGAAAGAUGCGCACAUGAUAUGGCUGCAGAUUGGCCCAACAUUUCUCACAUCCCAAAUAUCCAGAUAAAUGGAAAUGAUAUUCAAAGGGAGGGCCGGUAUUUAUUGUAAGAAGAAGGAUCCUCUGCUUUCACAGAGGUACAACUGCAGAAGGAUGAUUCUACAUGCAGAGAGAAUAGAAGCAAAUGAUGUUCAUACCGCGACAGAUGGUCUGCAGGGAAGACUUACAAGACUUUGCUUCUGAAAGAACCCGCUUUGUCAGUGGUCAUUUGGUUGUGCUGGAAAGAAGAAUUUUUAUCUGUUUGAGGAAGGAGCAAAGAUGAUAAAUCUUCAAUGCAGUACCCUUUUCCAUCAUUAAAAAGGCUACACAUCAUGCAAGUCAUUUGAAGCAAAGAUAGUGGAAGCCAUGAAUUCCCAGAUUCUUUGAGAAUAAGAUGGAUGCCAAAUGUCUUAAAGAAGGAGCAGAGGGGAUAUGAAUUCACUGGAUCUUCUUUCAGAAUAGGCAGCUUUUGGCUCAGCCGUGAAGGAUUGCUCUGAAUUGGAAGCUGUAAUACUUUGAUGUCUUUACCUCUGAUUUGGAGAAUCAGU